CCUGAUGCAGCAACGCCGCGUGAGGGACGACGGCCUUCGGGUUGUAAACCUCUUUUAGCAAGGAAGAAGCGAAAGUGACGGUACUUGCAGAAAAAGCACCGGCUAACUACGUGCCAGCAGCCGCGGUAAUACGUAGGGUGCAAGCGUUAUCCGGAAUUAUUGGGCGUAAAGAGCUCGUAGGCGGUUUGUCGCGUCUGCUGUGAAAUCUGGGGGCUCAACCCCCAGCCUGCAGUGGGUACGGGCAGACUAGAGUGCGGUAGGGGAGAUUGGAAUUCCUGGUGUAGCGGUGGAAUGCGCAGAUAUCAGGAGGAACACCGAUGGCGAAGGCAGAUCUCUGGGCCGUAACUGACGCUGAGGAGCGAAAGGGUGGGGAGCAAACAGGCUUAGAUACCCUGGUAGUCCACCCCGUAAACGUUGGGAACUAGUUGUGGGGUCCAUUCCACGGAUUCCGUGACGCAGCUAACGCAUUAAGUUCCCCGCCUGGGGAGUACGGCCGCAAGGCUAAAACUCAAAGGAAUUGACGGGGACCCGCACAAGCGGCGGAGCAUGCGGAUUAAUUCGAUGCAACGCGAAGAACCUUACCAAGACUUGACAUAUACGAGAACGGGCUAGAAAUAGUCAACUCUUUGGACACU
rnacentral:rRNA from 1 species